UGAAACGUUUUUGUUGUCGAUUGAAACACUGGCUCUUCGUUUGCACUUYUGACCCCACAGCUGUGGGCGGGCUUUAGUGGGAGGUGUGGAGGAUGCUUCUUCAUUGGUCAGCCAUUUUUUGAGUCAGUUUGGCUCCAACCAAUACUGUUCAGCCUUUCUUUCCGACACAAAGGAAGUCAUAGAGGACACCUACAGUACGAUCGAUUUUGUAAUGAUGGCAUUUCAKGUCAGCAGCACUGGGSGUUCUUCCGUUCAACUUCUACAUAGCUGGUUGUUCAGUGAUGCAAACUAGUCACCUUUCUGCGAAAUUCGCSGUUUUGGUAUUCGACUCCUUGCCGUUCCUCAAGUUAUAACGCGUUAACGUUAGUUGCUUACUGGACCCUGGCAAUCUGUGUGAAAUGUUAACUAGCUAACAAACUAACCACUAUCUGUUAACUCAUGUUUUCCCUCAACAGUAUGUGGUUCAUUUUCAGAAUGAGAGAAUUAGGUGAAAAUGAGGCGUUGCUUGUUAAACAAGUGGAUUCAGGGAUCAAGUGUAGCUGGACCUGGGCCUGACUUAAACUGAGAGUGGCAGGUGAAAUAUUUGCAGUGAGCCUUGCACGAGGUGGACCGUUUCCACGAUUUAUGCUGGAGUGAUGUUACCACUAUCUGUUGACCGGGACCCUGAAGGACCUAACAAAGGAUCAAAGAUGCCUUUGACCUGUCACCCUACACUGAAGGAAUCCUCAACUGUCACCCUACACUGAAGGAAUGCGUCAAGCUGUCACCCAUACGCUUGAAGAA